GGUCAGAGGUUGGACUAGGUGAUCUUGGAGGUCUCUUCCAACCUAGACGAUUCUGUGAUUUCCCUUCUAAGCCAUGUAAACCAACACCAGACAGAAAACCUAAGGUCCCUGCAUAGGUGCCAUUUGGUCUGUUACUGGCAAGUGUAUACCCAUCCCAGAAGAGACCUGGAGUUAGAGAGCUGCUGA
rnacentral:lncRNA from 1 species